GCUGCUACUGAAGUGAAUUGUGCGUACACAGCACAAUGUGUCCUAAGAAAAAACCCAUAAAGGUCACUUGAAGCCUGUACAUCGUCGCUUUCUACCCUCCAAUUUCAUUUUGCGAAACGUAAAAUGAAGCUAGCCAUCUAUGCUGAUAUGCCGUUGAUCUCUCUGCUUAUUGUUAUGUGUUUGGCUUCAAGCGUUCUAGCGGCAUUGAAACUCAAGAAAUGCCAUACAACUGGCUACGGAUGCCUACCAUUCAACCUGUGCCCUCCACCAUAUUGGGCGCCUCGCUCUGGCUGCGGGUGUGGCUCUAUUUGCUGCAAUCUAGCAUCAAUGAAUGCCUGCUCUUUCGCUGGAGGAACUUGUGAAGUGCAGUGCCGAACUCGAAUACCAAAGGUCAAAUGCCCUGGAUUCAAGAAGUGCUGUGCCACGGUGCAUCGCUAAUAAGCCAUCAUUACAGUAUGCAAACAUACCAGAUAUAACGCUAUCUUUGAGCGUAGAAACAGCAUGCGCAUUCUUGUUAUGCUUCUGCUCAUCACCUGUGAAAUGAAGCAUUAAAGGAGCACAAAGAAAGAGGAAUAACUUUCAACACAAGCGUAAGCAUGUGAAUUUUUUCGUGCCAGUGCGUGCAAGAGGGCAUCAUUUUGACAUUUGCACUCAAUAUAUAGAAAAAACGUUUUUUGUGUGUCUUAUUGGUUAGAAUUCUACUUUACGCAGUCAUCGCAACUUCUCAAAUGGAAUAAACAGUUUCAUUUAUUA